GUUAGGCUGCUCGCGGGCUCCAGACUCGGAGGACCAGCGAAUGCGAUCCCAGGUCAGGCGGGACUACCCGCUGAGUUUAAGCAUAUCAAUAAGC
rnacentral:rRNA from 2 species